GAUGAACGCUGGCGGCGUGCCUAAUACAUGCAAGUCGAGCGAACGGACGAGAAGCUUGCUUCUCUGAUGUUAGCGGCGGACGGGUGAGUAACACGUGGAUAACCUACCUAUAAGACUGGGAUAACUUCGGGAAACCGGAGCUAAUACCGGAUAAUAUUUUGAACCGCAUGGUUCAAAAGUGAAAGACGGUCUUGCUGUCACUUAUAGAUGGAUCCGCGCUGCAUUAGCUAGUUGGUAAGGUAACGGCUUACCAAGGCAACGAUGCAUAGCCGACCUGAGAGGGUGAUCGGCCACACUGGAACUGAGACACGGUCCAGACUCCUACGGGAGGCAGCAGUAGGGAAUCUUCCGCAAUGGGCGAAAGCCUGACGGAGCAACGCCGCGUGAGUGAUGAAGGUCUUCGGAUCGUAAAACUCUGUUAUUAGGGAAGAACAUAUGUGUAAGUAACUGUGCACAUCUUGACGGUACCUAAUCAGAAAGCCACGGCUAACUACGUGCCAGCAGCCGCGGUAAUACGUAGGUGGCAAGCGUUAUCCGGAAUUAUUGGGCGUAAAGCGCGCGUAGGCGGUUUUUUAAGUCUGAUGUGAAAGCCCACGGCUCAACCGUGGAGGGUCAUUGGAAACUGGAAAACUUGAGUGCAGAAGAGGAAAGUGGAAUUCCAUGUGUAGCGGUGAAAUGCGCAGAGAUAUGGAGGAACACCAGUGGCGAAGGCGACUUUCUGGUCCGUAACUGACGCUGAUGUGCGAAAGCGUGGGGAUCAAACAGGAUUAGAUACCCUGGUAGUCCACGCCGUAAACGAUGAGUGCUAAGUGUUAGGGGGUUUCCGCCCCUUAGUGCUGCAGCUAACGCAUUAAGCACUCCGCCUGGGGAGUACGACCGCAAGGUUGAAACUCAAAGGAAUUGACGGGGACCCGCACAAGCGGUGGAGCAUGUGGUUUAAUUCGAAGCAACGCGAAGAACCUUACCAAAUCUUGACAUCCUUUGACAACUCUAGAGAUAGAGCUUUCCCCUUCGGGGGACAAAGUGACAGGUGGUGCAUGGUUGUCGUCAGCUCGUGUCGUGAGAUGUUGGGUUAAGUCCCGCAACGAGCGCAACCCUUAAGCUUAGUUGCCAUCAUUAAGUUGGGCACUCUAAGUUGACUGCCGGUGACAAACCGGAGGAAGGUGGGGAUGACGUCAAAUCAUCAUGCCCCUUAUGAUUUGGGCUACACACGUGCUACAAUGGACAAUACAAAGGGCAGCGAAACCGCGAGGUCAAGCAAAUCCCAUAAAGUUGUUCUCAGUUCGGAUUGUAGUCUGCAACUCGACUACAUGAAGCUGGAAUCGCUAGUAAUCGUAGAUCAGCAUGCUACGGUGAAUACGUUCCCGGGUCU
rnacentral:rRNA from 1 species